UGGGAUUUGAUCGCGGGUAGGCGAAUCCAUUUUCUGCAUAUUUGUGUUUUUUGUUUUUCUUAAUAUUUCCGUAAAACACUCCAAAGACGAAAGACUAACGGAACUUCGCGGUGGGUGGACGGCGGUCGAUGGUGAGCUGGAGGGCCGGAGGAGACAGGAAUGUGAUGUCGGAAGGCGGCAAACCCAACCGAAAGGCGGAAGUUCCAUUGGGUGUGGGAGCAGUAAGAAAGGGUUUUAGGGGAAGCGAGGACGCCAUAAUGUUGUUCGACGUUUUGUCACAGAGAAGAAGAAAGUUGGAGAAAGCGAGGAACUAGAAGAUCCUACAUAUCCUCUCUAUGUAAUGUAAAUUGUGUGAAAUAAGUUGUGGCCAACUUGAACUCUUUCACCAACAUCCUUAAAUGCAAAGUGGGUGCUCUUCCAUCUACCUAUUUGGAACUCCUCUUGGAAGUCAAAGCAAAUUCAACCAAGAUGCAGGACUUGGUUAUUAUAAGAGUGGAGACAAAGCUUGCUAAAUGGAAAGCAAAUUAUUUAUCAUUGGGUGGCAGGUUGAUUCUAAUUAAAUUUGUUUGCUCUAGCCAAUUCACCCACUUGCUAUGCUCUCCUCAUUAUUUCGGCUUCUAUGGCUAAUGGAAUUUAAAAACUUCAAAGAAACUUCAUCUGGAGAAGCAACUCUGAUUUUUUCAAAUUCCCUCUCAUUAAAUGGAGUAACCUUUCUCCUGUAAUUUCAAAUGGCGAUCUUGGCAUCAGAAAUUUGAGAAUAAUGAAUUGGGCGUUGCCCACCAAAUGGAAUUGGAGAUUUUGUAAAGAAA